rnacentral:rRNA from 1 species
GACGAACGCUGGCGGCGUGCCUAAUACAUGCAAGUAGAACGCACAGGAUGCACCGUAGUUUACUACACCGUAUUCUGUGAGUUGCGAACGGGUGAGUAACGCGUAGGUAACCUGCCUGGUAGCGGGGGAUAACUAUUGGAAACGAUAGCUAAUACCGCAUAAGAACAUUUACUGCAUGGUAGAUGUUUAAAAGGUGCAAGAGCAUCACUACCAGAUGGACCUGCGUUGUAUUAGCUAGUUGGUGAGGUAACGGCUCACCAAGGCAACGAUACAUAGCCGACCUGAGAGGGUGAUCGGCCACACUGGGACUGAGACACGGCCCAGACUCCUACGGGAGGCAGCAGUAGGGAAUCUUCGGCAAUGGGGGGAACCCUGACCGAGCAACGCCGCGUGAGUGAAGAAGGUUUUCGGAUCGUAAAGCUCUGUUGUUAAGGAAGAACGUGUGUGAGAGUGGAAAGUUCACACAG